CUGCAUGCAAUUGCACCCACGUAUGCCUGGGUAGUGCCAGCACAUUCUUUCACUGUUGCUUCUCUGUCUUUAGUAGCAAUUCAAGACCAGGAACUUCUAACCUCAUUUCAGAUCUUCACUGCAUCAAGAAUCCAAAUACAAGUCCCAGAAGUCCAGCAGCCACCGUAUGUAUGUGAGAAAGAAAGCUUCAGACUCUACUAAAGAGGGCAGAAUCAUCAUCACUAUUAGCUUCCUGAAACUUCCACCCCACCUGGGCUGCCUGUCCUUGCAUUUACUUUUUCUGUAUAAGAAAGAUAAACUGCUACUUGGUUGAUAGCAACAGAAAUGUGUUUCCAUCACAUGUAGCCUAGUACAAAUGUAAAUAAUGUAUGUGCUUUAAAAACACUUAAAAAACUCAUAGCUGGUGUUAGUCAUUUCACAAUGCAUGGAUACUUCAAAAUAUUAUAUUGUACAUGUGACAAUAAACAUGGUUAUUUUUCAAUUUAAAA